UCCACCCGAGUGGACAUGGGAGCCACGGCCUUCCCAUCACGCCCUUUUCUCUCCUGCGGUGUCACCAGCUGAGUGGGGCUCACCUCCCUGACUGGGGGUAUCGCCAGCUGGAGAUCGUCGGGGAGAAGCUGUCCCGGGGCUACCACGGGAGCACGGUGUGGAACGUGGAGGAGCACCGAUAUGGCGCGAGCCAGGAGCAGAGGGAGCGGGAAUGGGAGCUGCACUCACCUGCACAGGUGGAUGUCAGCAGGAACCUCAGCUUCAUGGCGAGAUUCUCGGAGCUGCAGUGGAGGAUGCUGGCGCUGAGAAGUGAUGACUCGGAACACAAGUACAGCUCCAGCCCGCUGGAGUGGGUCACUCUGGACACCAAUAUUGCCUACUGGCUGCACCCCAGGACCAGCGCUCAGAUCCAUCUACUCGGAAACAUAGUGAUCUGGGUUUCGGGCAGCCUCGCUCUGGC
rnacentral:sRNA from 1 species